UUUUGGGUAUCUUAGUAUCUGAUGAAUGAGUCUAGGAGUGAGUCUAUAUUUUGAUAGUGAGUCUCUGUUGUGAUGGUAUAAAUCCCGGUGGGACUCUAUGGCAUAAGCAUGUGCACGACACUUGGUCAUUUAAGUGACUUGAGACAUUUAGCCCCACUCGGUUUCGCGCCUAGACACCCCUUUUCACGAUAUACUCUUUCACCUAUACACAACACACUCCUCUUUCACACCCUAACCAUAUCUCACUUCACAUCGGUUUCGAACUUUUCGUGAUUAAGAACCAUAACAAAUCAUCCUAAUUUACGUUUCACUAUCAUGGUCUAAAUUACAUUCAUUAAAUUUUAUUUUGUCACAAAUUCGCCAAAAUGGGAGAUUCUAUAUGCAAGAUUCUGGCUAUGACUAAGUGACUUAGUUGAUGAGUUUGGAUAGAACUAGGUGACUAAAAUGAUAGAAUUUAUCCUAUCAGUAAAUUUGUCACUUAUCCGUCAAAGAGGAAGAUUGUACGUGCAAGAUUUUGUUGCAAAUCGUCACUAAUCCGCCAAAGAGUAAGAUUGUAUAUGCAAGAUUUUGUCGCAAAUCUGCCAAAAGAUGAGAUUAUAUAUGCAAGAUUUUGCCUAGUUCUUAGUAACUUAGUUGAUAAGUUUGGAUAAAACUAGGUGACUAACAUGAUAGAGUUUAUCCUAUCAGUAAAUUUGUAAUGAUGGAUGAGUGUAAAAUAAUUAUUGACUUUAUUUACAACAUUAUUGAGUUUAUCUAGAAGUCAUAGAGGUUGUUUAGAUAAGUUAUUUAUGUGAAAUUCGAGUUCAUGAGGAUCUACACUUAUCCAAAAUAAAAGCUGAAUAGAAAUCUCUUACUGCAGAGAAUUUAUCGCGAGUGUCAGCAUUCCGUCAGGAGAUGUCUCGCGAUAAAUUCUAUCCGUUAGCAGAGUCCUACUAAAAUUGAAAUUCUUUCUAGAUUGUUUAUUUAAGGAAUCCUACUGGUUAUGAUAUGUAGAAAUUCAAAUUUAAAUAUUUUUUAAAGCACUUUUUAGUGCAUAUUUUGGUAAGAAAAUUCCUAAGAGAAUUUUCAUUUAUUUUUUUUUAAUUUCUCCUUGAAUGUGAUCAUGCUCUAAGUUUGGAGGAUUGUUGAUUGAAUUUCAGCCAUUGGAGUUCUAGGAGGAAAGGAACUAUUUGAAAAUCGCCAGAGGUUCUGACUGCUACCGUUGUAGAAAACAAAUUAGUCGUUUGUUUGGACAAGUAAGAGAGCUAAGCUACAAAGGUUUUUAAUUAAGAUUUUAUCUUUAAAGAGUUCUUUAAAAGGUUGCUCUUCGUAAUCAAUUUUUAUAUUAUGUAAGUUUGUUUAUUUACUUUUAAGUACUUAAUUUAUUAAAUAAUCAUAAUAUUGAGAUUUAACCAAUUUAUUUAAAGAAAUUGAUAAAUAAUUUCGUGGUUUCACAUAGAUAUAUUGGGAAUUUCAAAAUACUUCUCCUCUUCGAGUACAAUGUUAGUUCUUUGCACCAAUGUGCUAGAAAAUAUCUUUUAGAUUAGUAUGUACAUUUUCUCCUGGAUGAUUCUUUCAUUUUACAGUGCUGUGGACUGUGUGGAGAUUGACCCUGGGAGCAGAUUCACGUAACUAGUAAGAACAGUGUGUAUCUAGACUUAUAAGUGGUCUUGAAUAUGACUUCCAUAAUUGUUUCUCUGUGUAUGCCGAGAAAACGUAGGAAAUGGAUGAAGAAAUUUGAUUGGAUCUUUUUAUGGUCAAUUUGUGAUCUUCUGGGAUUCACUAGUCCAAUGCCUCUGGCUCUGAUGCAUUUUUCUUCGGAUUGAUGACUCCCGGUUGGACCAGCGGCCAGCCUCUAAUGCUAGAGCGUCAAUCUCCCUCUAUUGGUGAGCUAUAGAUAAAAUCAUUUUACGAUUUCUUUAUAAUUUUAUAAUAAAAUAUUUUUAUUUCUAAUUCAAAUAUAUCAGAGUCAAAAUAAUAGGUAGAUAUUUUUUUAAAAAAAUAAUAUUUUAAAUCACUAGACUUAAAGCCUCGUUUGUUUUCACAAUACUUUUCAACUCAUCUCAAUCUCAUAUCAUCUAAUCAUUAAAACUUUUUUAAAUUUUUACAUAAAAUAAAAUAAACAAUUUAACAUUUUCAAAUCUCAAAAUAAAAAUAAUAUAAAAAAUAUUUUAAAAAUAUUUUAUUUAAUUUUCAACUUUAAUCUCGAGUUAUCUCGUGUGCAAAAACACACUAAGCAACUCGCUUUACCACAUGUUUUAUGCACAGAACAAAGUCUUUAUACAAGUUCAAUUCGAUCUACCCUUAUAUAUCUCCUAAGAUUCAAAUAAAAUCUCUCAUUCUUGAGAAAAUUUGAUCAAUUUCAUCACACUAGGCUUGCUUUGUUGUAUAAGUUUGGAGGCAUUUAUAUAGACACAGAUAUUAUAGUGUUAAAGAGCUUCUCGAAGUUGAGAUAUGUAAUCGGUGCUCAGACAAUUGAUCUUGAAACUGGGAAUUGGAGCCGAUUGAACAAUGCUGUGCUGAUAUUCGACAAGAAUCAUCCUCUACUUUACAAAUUCAUUGAAGAAUUUGCGCUAACCUUCGACGGGAACAAAUGUGGCCACAAUUGCCCUUACUUAGUCUCGAGGGUUGUUUCCAGGCUGGGUCGAAGGCCUGGAUUUAAUUUCACGGUGUUGCCACCUUCGGCAUUUUAUCCGGUUGAUUGGAGUAGGAUUCGAUGUCUAUUUCGGGGCCGAGAGACGAGCUGCAUUCAAAAUGGAUGCAUAAAAAGUUGAGGCAGAUUCAGUCCAGAAGUUUGGCUGUUCACUUGUGGAAUAGGCAGAGCAGGAACCUAGAGGUUGAAAAGGGAAGCAUCAUCAGUCACAUACAGUCCGAUUGUUGUAUCUUCUGUAAUUCUGCACUUUCCAGUUUGUAAUCACAGAAUAACUAUGGCAAUUGCAACAAAUUGUCUUAUGCAUUUCAGUUUGUUGUAUGUGGUUUAUGGACCGACUUGGUUCAUUCCACCAUUGCAGUCCAUGAAGAAAGAAUAUUAGGGAAUGAUAAUCUUUUCUUCUUCGUUA